UGGGGAAUAUUGGACAAUGGGCGCAAGCCUGAUCCAGCCAUGCCGCGUGUGUGAAGAAGGCCUUUUGGUUGUAAAGCACUUUAAGCGAGGAGGAGGCUACUUGGAUUAAUACUCUAGGAUAGUGGACGUUACUCGCAGAAUAAGCACCGGCUAACUCUGUGCCAGCAGCCGCGGUAAUACAGAGGGUGCGAGCGUUAAUCGGAUUUACUGGGCGUAAAGCGUGCGUAGGCGGCUUCUUAAGUCGGAUGUGAAAUCCCUGAGCUUAACUUAGGAAUUGCAUUCGAUACUGGGAAGCUAGAGUAUAGGAGAGGAUGGUAGAAUUCCAGGUGUAGCGGUGAAAUGCGUAGAGAUCUGGAGGAAUACCGAUGGCGAAGGCAGCCAUCUGGCCUAAUACUGACGCUGAGGUAUGAAAGCAUGGGGAGCAAACAGG
rnacentral:rRNA from 1 species